UUUCACAAGUCAUAUCUGUUGUUAGGCACCUUAUUGCCAAAAUCUUCAUAAAAUUUAUUUGAAUUUCUUGUGCACAGUAUGCUACAACUGACAACGCUGGAGUCUGGCCUAACAGAUGCUUUUCUAAAGAGUGGCGUUCACUUGAAAAUCAGAAGAGGUCUGUAAGUUCACAUGAUGUGUGGAUAAGUAUGUGACCACACACUGAGGAGGAGCUGGUGCUCAGGGAGCAAUGCGUCGCAAAACACUUUCAAAGAAUCCCUGUGGUAAGCGGCUUUCAACCUUCAAGAGUUUUCGGAUAAGUAAAAUCCAAAGAAGAUGAAAGGUGACAAAUGUAAAGUUAGCAAUUUUUGUGAGUAUAAACACAAUCAAAAACACCACGAAGUGGAGAGGAGUGUCAGCUUAGUGAAAGGUUGGCUUACUGAUGAAAUUUCCCUUUGGUAAAUUCAUUUUAAUUAUAAAUAAAUUUUUGAAGUUUUUUUAAUUUACCUCCUAUAUUAUGUGAUCUUGAUGUAGAUCAUUUAUGACCAAUAGUGAUAUAUUUGUCCUCUAAAAGGCUGAAUAUUUAGCUUAAGCUAGCUUCUGCAUUCAUGUUGUGUCCGGAAAUGCAAAUGAACAUAGACUAAAACAGAAUGUGUUGUGAAAUGAUGUGAAUUUUUUUAGUGAUAAGAACAUGUAUGAUGUUUCAAUCAGUUUUCACAAUAGUAGCUUCCCAUAGCCUCAUACAGCAUCCUAGACAUCCCAGUAUGUUUAUUUGGGCAGCUAUUUCAUGACGUAUAGGUGAAUACUAGCAGAAUCGAUUUUUUUUCAUUAAUGUUCUUGAUGUCAUUCCAUUUACUGUAGUCUUCUUGAUGUACCAUUGUUAUGCCAAUGGAUAUACUGCUAGUUAGAUUCAAAGCAUGACUACCACUCUAUGACUGUAUCAGUGAAGAACAAAAUGAAAGUGAUAAAGGAUUGAGAUACAGAACUUUUACAAAACCUCUAAUAAAAAAGAUUUCCACUAGAAUGUACAAGGCUGGGAUGAGACAGACCAAUCUUAAGUUCAUAAUAUCAUGGCAGAGGAAAUAAUCUGAAGUCUUCAAAAGGUAAGAUGGAGAUCCACAGGUAUCCCAAAUGAAGGUAUGUAUCAGCCUUAUGAUAAUUUUAACAUCUUCUGUGAACCAGAUUUCGAUACAUAAUUUUUUUAUCAUAAGAUGUAAGAUCAUCAUAUGUAUACAAUAAAAUUAAAGAAUGAGUCUGAUUAAUUCUUAAUGACAAGUCUUAAAUGCAUAAUGUGUAACGAAUCCAUUCAUUAUCUCCUAGUCGUGUCCAGUUUCACAUGAAUAAUUGCAGAUGAAUGACCCUGAAGAACAGCUGCUGCUUUUUGUCAUUCCUCCAUCUUCUCUUCCUAUGUCAGUGGUCUAUCUGUAGUGCAGCCAAUCCAGGCUAGAAGUUUGGAACUUUCAAAGCUGUACAUUCGGUGUGUUUAUGGCAUCCAUUCCCCGCUGCAGAUUGAAGUUUUCUAGCAGCCCUGCAUCAAGGAGUUAACACCACUUUCUGAAAAAUAAUGAAUUUUUAAAUUAAGUGUUCUGGAGCAACCAACAAUACCUCUGAAGUAUGCCUAUACAUCCAAUUAAUACUAGUCUGAAUUGAGACUGGAGGUUUAAGUAAGUCAUUCAUGGAAAGGUAAAGGAAAAAAGCAUUCCCGGAAAAAGGCAUAGCUUGUGAAAAGUCAUGGAAUAAUGGAUGGCACAUGCUAUUUUCUUUUUUUUAAUGAG